rnacentral:rRNA from 1 species
GACAGAGGGUGCAAACGUUGUUCGGAUUUACUGGGCGUAAAGCGUGUGUAGGCGGCUUGGCAAGUUGGAUGUGAGAGCCCACGGCUCAACCGUGGAAGCGCAUCCAAAACUGCUUCGCUCGAGUCUCGGAGAGGAAGGUGGAAUGCUUGGUGUAGAGGUGAAAUUCGUAGAUAUCAAGCAGAACACCUGCGGCGAAGGCGGCCUUCUGGACGAUGACUGACGCUGAGACGCGAAAGCGUGGGGAGCGAACAGG